rnacentral:rRNA from 1 species
UACGGAGGGUGCAAACGUUGCUCGGAAUCAUUGGGCGUAAAGCGCACGUAGGCGGCCUGUUAAGUCGGGUGUGAAAGCCCUGGGCUCAACCCAGGAAGUGCACUCGAAACUGGCGGGCUUGAAUAUGGAAAGAGGGUCGCGGAAUUCCCGGUGUAGAGGUGAAAUUCGUAGAUAUCGGGAGGAACACCAGUGGCGAAGGCGGCGACCUGGGCC